UACGUAGGGUGCGAGCGUUAAUCGGAAUUACUAGGCGUAAAGCGUGCGCAGGCGGCGCCGCAAGUCGAGUGUGAAAGCCCCGGGCUUAACCUGGGAACUGCGCUUGAAACUACGGAACUCGAGUGUGGCAGAGGAAGGUGGAAUUCCACGUGUAGCGGUGAAAUGCGUAGAGAUGUGGAGGAACACCGAUGGCGAAGGCAGCCUUCUGGGCCAACACUGACGCUCAUGCACGAAAGCGUGGGGAGCAAACAGG
rnacentral:rRNA from 1 species